rnacentral:rRNA from 1 species
GAUGAACGCUGGCGGCGUGCCUAAUACAUGCAAGUCGAGCGAACGGACGAGAAGCUUGCUUCUCUGAUGUUAGCGGCGGACGGGUGAGUAACACGUGGAUAACCUACCUAUAAGACUGGGAUAACUUCGGGAAACCGGAGCUAAUACCGGAUAAUAUUUUGAACCGCAUGGUUCAAAAGUGAAAGACGGUCUUGCUUUCACUUAUAGAUGGAUCCGCGCUGCAUUAGCUAGUUGGUAAGGUAACGGCUUACCAAGGCAACGAUGCAUAGCCGACCUGAGAGGGUGAACGGCCACACUGGAACUGAGACACGGUCCAGACUCCUACGGGAGGCAGCAGUAGGGAAUCUUACGCAAUGGGCGAAAGCCUGACGUAGCAAAGCCGCGUGAGUGAUGAAGGUCUUCGGAUCGUAAAACUCUGUUAUUAGGGAAGAACAUAUGUGUAAGUAACUGUGCACAUCUUGACGGUACCUAAUCAGAAAGCCACGGCUAACUACGUG